rnacentral:rRNA from 1 species
AUUGAACGCUGGCGGCAUGCCUUACACAUGCAAGUCGAACGGUAACAGGUCUUCGGAUGCUGACGAGUGGCGAACGGGUGAGUAAUACAUCGGAACGUGCCUAGUAGUGGGGGAUAACUACUCGAAAGAGUGGCUAAUACCGCAUGAGAUCUACGGAUGAAAGCAGGGGAUCGCAAGGCCUUGUGCUACUAGAGCGGCCGAUGGCAGAUUAGGUAGUUGGUGGGAUAAAAGCUUACCAAGCCGACGAUCUGUAGCUGGUCUGAGAGGACGAUCAGCCAAACUGGGACUGAGACACGGCCCAGACUCCUACGGGAGGCAGCAGUGGGGGAUUUUGGACAAUGGGCGCAAGCCUGAUCCAGCAAUGCCGCGUGCAGGAUGAAGGCCUUCGGGUUGUAAACUGCUUUUGUACAGAACGAAAAGCCCUGGGUUAAUACCCUGGGGUCAUGACGGUACCGUAAAAAUAAGCACCGGCUAACUACGUGCCAGCCGCCGCAGUAAUAC